rnacentral:rRNA from 1 species
GGGAACAUACCCUUUUCUACGGAAUAGCUCUGGGAAACUGGAAUUAAUACCGUAUACGCCCUACGGGGGAAAGAUUUAUCGGGGAAGGAUUGGCCCGCGUUGGAUUAGCUAGUUGGUGGGGUAAAGGCCUACCAAGGCGACGAUCCAUAGCUGGUCUGAGAGGAUGAUCAGCCACAUUGGGACUGAGACACGGCCCAAACUCCUACGGGAGGCAGCAGUGGGGAAUAUUGGACAAUGGGCGCAAGCCUGAUCCAGCCAUGCCGCGUGAGUGAUGAAGGCCUUAGGGUUGUAAAGCUCUUUCACCGAUGAAGAUAAUGACGGUAGUCGGAGAAGAAGCCCCGGCUAACUUCGUGCCAGCAGCCGCGGUAAUACGAAGGGGGCUAGCGUUGUUCGGAAUUACUGGGCGUAAAGCGCACGUAGGCGGAUAUUUAAGUCAGGGGUGAAAUCCCAGAGCUCAACUCUGGAACUACCUUUGAUACUGGGUAUCUUGAGUAUGGAAGAGGUAAGUGGAAUUGCGAGU